ACGGAUAUUCUCGCGAGACGGUGAAAACCAGAGAAUAUGGAAGAACACCCCGGGGGGAAGGCGCUUUUUUGGUCUAUUAUUGAACGAUAAGUUUCGAAAGGCGGGGGAGCCAAACAGGAAUUAUCUACCCUGGUAGUUCCCCCCCGUAACCGAUGAUUAUUAGGUGUAGGGGUUUUCCAGACCUUAUGUGCCGCCGUUAACGCAUUAAUUAUUCCGCUGGGGAGUUCGGUCGCAGGAUUAAAUUCAAAGGAAUUGACGGGGGCCCGCACAAGCAGCGGAGCAUGUGGUUUAAUUCGAAGCAACGCGAAGAACCUUACUUAGACUUGACAUCUCCUGCAUUACUCUUAAUCGAGGAAGUUCUUUCGGGAACAGGAAGACAGGUGGUGCAUGGUUGUCGUCAGCUCGUGUCGUGAGAUGUUGGGUUAAGUCCCGCAACGAGCGCAACCCCUAUUGUUAGUUGCUACCAUUAAGUUGAGCACUCUAGCGAGACUGCCCGGGUUAACCGGGAGGAAGGUGGGGAUGACGUCAAAUCAUCAUGCCCCUUAUGUCUAGGGCUACACACGUGCUACAAUGGCCGGUACAAAGAGAUGCUAAACCGUGAGGUGGAGCUAAACUAUAAAACCGGUCUCAGUUCGGAUUGUAGGCUGAAACUCGCCUACAUGAAGCUGGAGUUGCUAGUAAUCGCGAAUCAGAAUGUCGCGGUGAAUACGUUCCCGGGCCUUGUACACACCGCCCGUCACACCAUGGGAGUUGGUUGCUCCAGAAGCAGGUAGUCUAACCGCAAGGGGGACGCUUGCCACGGAGUGGUCAAUGACUGGGGUGAAGUCGUAACAAGGUAAAU
rnacentral:rRNA from 1 species